rnacentral:rRNA from 1 species
AUUGAACGCUGGCGGCAGGCCUAACACAUGCAAGUCGAACGCGUGGCGGACGGGUGAGUAAUGUCUGGGCAACUGCCUGAUGGAGGGGGAUAACUACUGGAAACGGUAGCUAAUACCGCAUACCAUCAGAUGUGCCCAGAUGGGAGUCGCUAGUUGGUGGGGUAACGGCUCACCAAGGCGACGAUCCCUAGCUGGUCUGAGAGGAUGACCAGCCACGCUGGAACUGAGACACGGUCCAGACUCCUACGGGAGGAAGCAGUGGGGAAUAUUGCACAAUGGGCGCAAGCCUGAUGCAGCCAUGCCGCGUGUAUGAAGAAGGCCUUCGGGUUGUAAAGUACUUUCAGCGGGGAGGCGUUACCCGCAGAAGAAGCACCGGCUAACUCCGUGCCAGCAGCCGCGGUAAUUC